GGAUAUCGCCAAGUGGUAAGGCACAGGUCUUUGACUCCUGUAUCCGCUGGUUCGAGUCCAGCUAUCCC
rnacentral:tRNA from 1 species